rnacentral:tRNA from 1 species
GCCCGGGUGGUGAAAUUGGUAGACGCGCCGGAUUCAAAAUCCGGUUCCGCAAGGAGUGUCGGUUCGAGUCCGACCCUGGGCACCA